rnacentral:rRNA from 1 species
GGUUAAGUGACUAAGCGUACACGGUGGAUGCCUUGGCAGUUGGAGGCGAUGAAGGACGUACUAACUUGCGAUAAGCUAAGUCAAGCCAGUAAGAGGCACUUGAGACUUAGAUUUCCGAAUGGGGAAACCCACCGCUUAGCGGUAUCUUACAGUGAAUACAUAGCUGUAAGAGGCAAACCGGGAGAACUGAAACAUCUAAGUACCCCGAGGAAAAGAAAUCAACCGAGAUUCCGAAAGUAGCGGCGAGCGAAAUCGGAUUAGCCCUUAAGCUUCAGUGUAAUUAGUGGAACCUUCUGGAAAGUUGGACGACACAGGGUGACAGUCCCGUACACGAAAAUUUAUCUGAAGUGAAAUCGAGUAGGUCGGAGCACGUGAAACUUUGACUGAAUAUGGGGGGACCAUCCUCCAAGGCUAAAUACUCCCAACUGACCGAUAGUGAACCAGUACCGUGAGGGAAAGGCGAAAAGAACCCCUGUGAGGGGAGUGAAAUAGAACCUGAAACCGUGUACGUACAAGCAGUAGGAGCCCUUCGAGGGUGACUGCGUACCUUUUGUAUAAUGGGUCAGCGACUUAUAUUCUGUAGCAAGGUUAACCAUUUAGGGGAGCCGUAGCGAAAGCGAGUCUUAACUGGGCGCUUAAGUUGCAGGGUAUAGACCCGAAACCCGGUGAUCUAGCCAUGGGCAGGUUGAAGGUCAGGUAACACUGACUGGAGGACCGAACCCACUAACGUUGAAAAGUUAGGGGAUGACCUGUGGCUAGGAGUGAAAGGCUAAUCAAACCGGGAGAUAGCUGGUUCUCCCCGAAAUCUAUUUAGGUAGAGCCUCGGACGAAUACUUACGGGGGUAGAGCACUGUUAAGGCUAGGGGGUCAUCCCGACUUACCAACCCUUUGCAAACUCCGAAUACCGUAAAGUAAUAUCCGGGAGACACACGGUGGGUGCUAACGUCCAUCGUGGAGAGGGAAACAACCCAGACCGUCAGCUAAGGUCCCAAAGUGUAUGUUAAGUGGGAAACGAUGUGGGAAGGCUAAAACAGCUAGGAGGUUGGCUUAGAAGCAGCCAUCCUUUAAAGAAAGCGUAAUAGCUCACUAGUCGAGUCGGCCUGCGCGGAAGAUGUAACGGGGCUAAACAUACCACCGAAGCUACGGCUGCAUACAUUAGUAUGCGGGGUAGGGGAGCGUUCUGUAAGUGGCUGAAGGUGUGCCGGGAGGCAUGCUGGACAUAUCAGAAGUGCGAAUGCUGACAUGAGUAACGAUAAUGCGGGUGAAAAACCCGCACGCCGGAAGACCAAGGGUUCCUAUCCCAUGUUAAUCAGGGUAGGGUGAGUCGACCCCUAAGGCGAGGCUGAAGAGCGUAGUCGAUGGGAAACGGGUUAAUAUUCCCGUACUUGGUAUAAAUGCGAUGGGGGGACGGAGCAGGCUAGGCAAGCAUGGCGUUGGUUGUCCAUGUGAAAGGCUGUAGGCUGGUGACUUAGGAAAAUCCGGGUCGCUAAGGCUGAGAGUCGAGACGAGCCACUACGGUGGUGAAGUUGUUGAUGCCCUACUUCCAGGAAAAGCCUCUAAGCUUCAGUUUAUAUCGAAUCGUACCCUAAACCGACACAGGUGGUCAGGUAGAGAAUACUAAGGCGCUUGAGAGAACUCGGGUGAAGGAACUAGGCAAAAUUGUACCGUAACUUCGGGAGAAGGUACGCUCUUGUUUGUGAAGGACUUGCUCCAUAAGCAGACGAGAGCCGCAGUGACCAGGUGGCUGGGACUGUUUAUUAAAAACACAGCACUGUGCAAAAUCGUAAGAUGACGUAUACGGUGUGACACCUGCCCGGUGCCGGAAGGUUAAUUGAUGGGGUUAGACUUAGGUCGAAGCUCUUGAUCGAAGCCCCGGUAAACGGCGGCCGUAACUAUAACGGUCCUAAGGUAGCGAAAUUCCUUGUCGGGUAAGUUCCGACCUGCACGAAUGGUGUAACCAUGGCCACGCUGUCUCCACCCGAGACUCAGUGAAAUUGAAAUCGCAGUGAAGAUGCUGUGUACCCGCGGCUAGACGGAAAGACCCCGUGAACCUUUACUACAGCUUGGCACUGAACAUUGACCCUACAUGUGUAGGAUAGGUGGGAGGCUUUGAAGCACAGUCGCUAGAUUGUGUGGAGCCG